rnacentral:rRNA from 1 species
UACGGGGGGAGCAAGCGUUGUUCGGAUUUACUGGGCGUAAAGGGCGCGUAGGCGGCGCAACAAGUCACUUGUGAAAUCUCCGGGCUUAACCCGGAGCGGUCAAGUGAUACUGUCGUGCUAGAGUGCGGAAGAGGCGAGUGGAAUUCCUGGUGUAGCGGUGAAAUGCGCAGAUAUCGGGAGGAACACCAAUGGCGAAGGCAGCUCGCUGGGACGUUACUGACGCUGAGACGCGAAAGCGUGGGGAGCAAACAGG